rnacentral:rRNA from 1 species
GGAAUCUUGCGCAAUGGGCGAAAGCCUGACGCAGCGACGCCGCGUGGGUGAUGAAGGCCUUCGGGUUGUAAAGCCCUGUGGGGCGAGAAGAAUAAGUCGUAGCGAAUAGCUACGAUGAUGACGGUAUCGCCGUAGCAAGCACCGGCUAACUCUGUGCCAGCAGCCGCGGUAAGACAGAGGGUGCAAACGUUGUUCGGAAUCACUGGGCGUAAAGGGUGUGUAGGCGGUGCAAAAAGCCAGGCGUGAAAGCCCGGGGCUCAACCCCGGAAGUGCGCUUGGAACUAUUGCGCUAGAGUCUUGGAGAGGUUGGCGGAAUUCCAGGUGUAGAGGUGAAAUUCGUAGAUAUCUGGAAGAACACCGGCGGCGAAGGCGGCCAACUGGACAAAGACUGACGCUGAGACACGAAAGCGUGGGGAGCAAACAGGAUUAGAUACCCUGGUAGUCCACGCCGUAAACGAUGAGUGCUGGGUGUUUCGAGGAUUGACCCUCGAAGCGCCGGAGCUAACGCGUUAAGCACUCCGCCUGGGAAGUACGGCCGCAAGGCUAAAACUCAAAUGAAUUGACGG